UAACCGUAGGUGAACCUGCGGUUGGAUCAUUAUAAAAUGAUUAGUCCUGUGGUUUAAGUGGUCUUUGUGAUCCUUGCUGCAGGGCGAAACACCACUGUGCAACUUAAUUGUAUUUGGGUUAAGUCUGGUAGGUUACUACUGGAGUCUUUGCCUCGGUAAAGAUGCUUGGUUUUAACGGGUAACCGAUAGAACUGUGGCCGUGGAAUCUCAGCAACUGCCCGAGGUUUAUCCUUGGAAAGGCGCUUAAGAAUGCUGAACCCGCCUAUUUAAACAACCUUAUAAUUUGUCUGACUUUUGUAUUCUAUGAAUCAAAAACAACUUUUAACAACGGAUCUCUUGGCUCUC
rnacentral:misc_RNA from 1 species